rnacentral:rRNA from 1 species
GACGAACCGAGCGAACGUUAUUCGGAAUCACUGGGCUUAAAGGGCGCGUAGGCGGGCCAUCAAGUCAGGGGUGAAAGCCCCCAGCUCAACUGGGGAAGUGCCUUUGAUACUGGUGGUCUCGAGGGGGAUAGGGGCAUGCGGAACUUCCGGUGGAGCGGUGAAAUGCGUAGAUAUCGGAAGGAACACCGGUGGCGAAAGCGGCGUGCUGGACCCCUUCUGACGCUGAGGCGCGAAAGCCAGGGGAGCAAACGGG